CAGCUAUGGACUCGAGCACAGUGCUGGGUAUAGACCUAUCUCCUGUGUUGUCUGGAGUGACACAUUUACAAACAAUGUCAAGUUUGUCCAUUAGGCCUCACUCAGCAUAGUCCACUACAAAUGUUCAAACCUUUACGUGGUUUGAGACUGUGAAGACAUAAUUUAUAAUUUAAUAUGGAAAUCAGUAACUCACUCCUGGAAAUUAAUCUGAAGAAGUUCUAUGAAUUAAUUUGUUUUCCACAUUAUUUAUUUUAAAAAGGGGGGAAAGUCUAAAUAAUUGACCAUAAGGAAUGAGUUAAGUAAAUGAUGAUGCAUCUACUUGAGCGAUUAUUAUCUCAUUUUUAAAGGGAUGAUUAUUUCAAAAUUUUGCAAAAUGAAGAAACGCUAAUGACAAUGUUAAAUUAGAAAAACAAACGUCAACCCUCAAAUUGUGGUUCAAAAUUGUGUUAGUCAGGAGAGGGUAGGUCACGCAGGAGUAAGAAACAACCUAAAAAUCUCAAUGGUUUAAGACAAUGAAAGUUUGUUUACGGCUCGCAAUUAGUCGGUUGCCUCUUGGGCAGGUUCUCCCCGCCUCCGUCCCGUGCAUCGUCCAUCUUUCUCGCCACUUUGUUGGAGCGCGGGAUGAAUGACGUCCUCGCGAAGCACCGUGCUAGCCAAUUACUGGAGUUUCUGCCUCCUCCUGUAGACACGUGGCUGUCCACAGUCAGAAAUCAUCAGACAUGUCAAGAUCAAACAUCAUGCAAAUCAGCAUUUAGAGGACAAGCAAAAACAAAGGAAGUCCUGCCCCGGAAAUGACUCCCAGUAUUAUGAGGGAGGCACUGCUGGUAAGGGAGUCUCUGCUCAGGUGGCACAAGCGCCAACGGGAAGCUUGGCUCAGCGCCUUCUCAUCUCCUCCGAGGCAGGGUGCCUGCUGAGAUCAGCCCGGGAUGACUCUGCCUGCAUAACCCAUCAUCCUGACAGCAGAGCUACAAUUUGUCUGACUCCAUGUCAUAGUUCAUCUUGUGCUGUCACUUUCAGUCCGGCCGCUAAUAUUACUCACGAGAGUCCAAGAGGGUUGAAGCUAAGAUCAUUGAUGACAGUUGUCCGGUUUCCUGCAGCACAAACACCUUGUGGAGGAGGGCAUUUGAUUGAAAAUCUCUUGCUCCAGCCCGGAAAGUUGCAAUGUAGGUAUAAUGGCUGAAGCUAGAGCAGCCAUUUUUCAAGAAUGAAAAUAAAAGGCAACACUCCACGGAUGACAAAAAGAAAAGAAACAAAGACCUGGAUCAUUGACGGCAUCAUUGAGCUUUCAAGCCAGACCUGAGAUUUCUUUUAACUACUGGACUUCUUGUAAAAAAAACAUAAUAAAUACCCUGACAGUUUAAGCCACCAUUGGACAAAUCUUUUGUUACUUAGUGCUGAGAAAAAUCCUAUAUGAAGGAGCUAUUAUUUAUUUCAUCAAAUCUAAGGUAUAAUAAAUUCAAAGUUGCAACAUUACUUUCUGAACCACUUGGAAGGAAAAAACCCGUGAAUUAAAC
rnacentral:lncRNA from 1 species